AGGUAAGCUACUAAGAGCGAAUGGUGGAUGCCUUGACUGGUAAAGGCGAUGAAGGACGUACUAGACUGCGAUAAGCUACGGGGAGCUGUCAAGAAGCUUUGAUCCGUAGAUUUCCGAAUGGGGCAACCCAAUGUAUAGAGAUAUACAUUACCUAUAUAGGAGCGAACGAGGGGAAUUGAAACAUCUUAGUACCCUCAGGAAAAGAAAUCAAUAGAGAUUGCGUCAGUAGCGGCGAGCGAAAGCGCAAGAGGGCAAACCCAGUGCUUGCACUGGGGGUUGUAGGACUGCAAUGUGCAAGAGGUAAGUUUAGCAGAACAUUCUGGAAAGUAUAACCAUAGAGGGUGAUAGUCCCGUAUGCGAAAAACAAACCUUAGCUAGCAGUAUCCUGAGUAGGGCGGGACACGAGGAAUCCUGUCUGAAUCCGGGUCGACCACGAUCCAACCCUAAAUACUAAUACCAGAUCGAUAGUGCACAAGUACCGUGAGGGAAAGGUGAAAAGAACUGAGGUGAUCAGAGUGAAAUAGAACCUGAAACCAUUUGCUUACAAUCAUUCAGAGCCCUAUGUAGCAAUACAGGGUGAUGGACUGCCUUUUGCAUAAUGAGCCUGCGAGUUGUGGUGUCUGGCAAGGUUAAGCAAACGCGAAGCCGUAGCGAAAGCGAGUCUGAAUAGGGCGCUUAGUCAGAUGCUGCAGACCCGAAACGAAGUGAUCUAUCCAUGAGCAAGUUGAAGCUAGUGUAAGAACUAGUGGAGGACUGAACCCAUAGGCGUUGAAAAGCCCCGGGAUGACUUGUGGAUAGGGGUGAAAGGCCAAUCAAACUUCGUGAUAGCUGGUUCUCUCCGAAAUAUAUUUAGGUAUAGCGUUGUGUCGUAAUAUAAGGGGGUAGAGCACUGAAUGGGCUAGGGCAUACACCAAUGUACCAAACCCUAUCAAACUCCGAAUACCUUAUAUGUAAUCACAGCAGUCAGGCGGCGAGUGAUAAAAUCCGUCGUCAAGAGGGAAACAACCCAGACUACCAGCUAAGGUCCCUAAAUCUUACUUAAGUGGAAAACGAUGUGAAGUUACUUAAACAACCAGGAGGUUGGCUUAGAAGCAGCCAUCCUUUAAAGAAAGCGUAAUAGCUCACUGGUCUAGUGAUUUUGCGCGGAAAAUAUAACGGGGCUAAAGUAAGUACCGAAGCUGUAGACUUGCACACAACUUAGAUUAUUUAAGUUUAGAAUAUGAGAAACUAAGUUAUAUGUUUAGUUAUAUUUUUACUGAUUUUUAUAGAGUAAAGAUAGAAAUAAAACUUAGUAAAAUCAGUAAAAAUAUUCUUAGACUAAAGUUAAGUAGUUUAAGUUGUGUGCAAGUGGUAGGAGAGCGUUCUAUUUGCGUCGAAGGUAUACCGGUAAGGAGUGCUGGAGCGAAUAGAAGUGAGCAUGCAGGCAUGAGUAGCGAUAAUUAAUGUGAGAAUCAUUAACGCCGUAAACCCAAGGUUUCCUACGCGAUGCUCGUCAUCGUAGGGUUAGUCGGGUCCUAAGUCGAGUCCGAAAGGGGUAGACGAUGGCAAAUUGGUUAAUAUUCCAAUACCAACAUUAGUGUGCGAUGGAAGGACGCUUAGGGCUAAGGGGGCUAGCGGAUGGAAGUGCUAGUCUAAGGUCGUAGGAGGUUAUACAGGCAAAUCCGUAUAACAAUACUCCGAGAACUGAAAGGCUUUUUGAAGUCUUCGGAUGGAUAGAAGAACCCCUGAUGCCGUCGAGCCAAGAAAAGUUUCUAAGUUUAGCUAAUGUUGCCCGUACCGUAAACCGACACAGGUGGGUGGGAUGAGUAUUCUAAGGCGCGUGGAAGAACUCUCUUUAAGGAACUCUGCAAAAUAGCACCGUAUCUUCGGUAUAAGGUGUGGUUAGCUUUGUAUUAGGAUUUACUCCGAAAGCAAGGAAACUUACAACAAAGAGUCCCUCCCGACUGUUUACCAAAAACACAGCACUCUGCUAACUCGUAAGAGGAUGUAUAGGGUGUGACGCCUGCCCGGUGCUCGAAGGUUAAUUGAUGGGGUUAGCAUUAGCGAAGCUCUUGAUCGAAGCCCGAGUAAACGGCGGCCGUAACUAUAACGGUCCUAAGGUAGCGAAAUUCCUUGUCGGUUAAAUACCGACCUGCAUGAAUGGCGUAACGAGAUGGGAGCUGUCUCAAAGAGGGAUCCAGUGAAAUUGUAGUGGAGGUGAAAAUUCCUCCUACCCGCGGCAAGACGGAAAGACCCCGUGGACCUUUACUACAGCUUGACACUGCUACUUGGAUAAGAAUGUGCAGGAUAGGUGGGAGGCUUUGAGUAUAUGACGCCAGUUGUAUAUGAGCCAUUGUUGAGAUACCACUCUUUCUUAUUUGGGUAGCUAACCAGCUUGAGUUAUCCUCAAGUGGGACAAUGUCUGGUGGGUAGUUUGACUGGGGCGGUCGCCUCCCAAAUAAUAACGGAGGCUUACAAAGGUUGGCUCAGAACGGUUGGAAAUCGUUCGUAGAGUAUAAAGGUAUAAGCCAGCUUAACUGCAAGACAUACAAGUCAAGCAGAGACGAAAGUCGGUCUUAGUGAUCCGGUGGUUCUGUGUGGAAGGGCCAUCGCUCAAAGGAUAAAAGGUACCCCGGGGAUAACAGGCUGAUCUCCCCCAAGAGCUCACAUCGACGGGGAGGUUUGGCACCUCGAUGUCGGCUCAUCGCAUCCUGGGGCUGGAGCAGGUCCCAAGGGUAUGGCUGUUCGCCAUUUAAAGCGGUACGCGAGCUGGGUUCAGAACGUCGUGAGACAGUUCGGUCCCUAUCUGCCGUGGGCGUAAGAAGAUUGAAGAGAUUUGACCCUAGUACGAGAGGACCGGGUUGAACAAACCACUGGUGUAGCUGUUGUUCUGCCAAGAGCAUCGCAGCGUAGCUAAGUUUGGAAAGGAUAAACGCUGAAAGCAUCUAAGCGUGAAGCCAACUCUAAGAUGAAUCUUCUCUAAGCUCUCUAGAAGACUACUAGUUUGAUAGGCUGGGUGUGUAAUGGAUGAAAGUCCUUUAGCUGACCAGUACUAAUAGAGCGUUUGGCUUAUCUUU
rnacentral:rRNA from 2 species